GAAUGCUCGAUUAGACUGCAUUUUGCCCUGCUUUUCUCUUUUUCUUCCCUUUCUUUCUCUCUUUCUCAUUCUUUUCUCCCUGCCAGAAGAUUGGAGACGAUAUUCUUUUGCGAUCAAUUCAGUAAUACAGUGUCUUUGAGUGUUCACACGAGCAUUUCAGUGGAGAAGAAAAGAAACUUUGCUACCUGGGAACAGAAGACUGCUUAGGUCAGUGAAUGCUAAUAAAGUCCUUAAGGACUUAUGGAGCCAGGAGUUAACUUUUGUCAACUCUUAAGGCCCUCCAUCCCCUCCAAUCCUGGCAUCCACCGUCAUUCUGCUUUCAGCUUCUGAGUUCAUCAAGUGACUGUCAACUCGAGUAACACUGAGAUCUGGACAGGCAACAUGAUUCCAGAGAACAGCCUUUCUUUGACCCCUUCAUCCCCCCGAGAACUCAUGCUUGGCUUCCCAGUCCUCUGUCUCCGGUGAAAAACAUGGAGGAUUUAAACAGCAUGUUGCAUUGUUGACUGUCACUGUGUGCCUUGUCUCCAACCAAGGCGAUGAUUUGAGAUGGGGCCAGCCUUCAUCAGCGUCCUCCUCUUUCUAAACCUCAUUCCUUAUGCCGAAUACCCUAGAAAAGUAGGGUAACAAAUUUGGCACUUCGGCUGGACUAGGAGGCAAAGGACAAUGGCAGCCCUGGCUUGACCGUCUGAUUUUGGAUUUCAAGGGUGUUUGUUCUGAAAUUCCAACAAAAUGACUAAUUUGACUAGACCUGUGGUGAUCGAAGAUGCUGGUGUUCCCCAUCCUGCUGUUCUCACUUCUCCAGGACCGAGGCCCCGUGGAGGGAACCAAGAUCCUAGACCAUCCCUUAGACAUGAACUGUAUUGUUGUAGGGAUCAAAUGAGUCAAAACACACCAUGUGGCUAGAAUAAUGACUGGAACACAGCAAGAGUUGCCUUGGCACCCAGCUUGUGAGUAAUAUUAAUUUUUAUUAUAUACAUUUAUUGAAAAAUAAACAGUUGUAAAUAAUCAACAUUCCAUAAGUUCACUAUCACCACUGAGAGCUUACUCUUAGCGGACUUUGGUCCCAGCAUUUUCUUGCUUUAUCCCAUUUCAUCCUCAUCUCAAGCCUAGAAAUAGGUGUCAUUCUAUCUCCAUUUUGCAGUGAGGCAGUGUGGUCUCUGAGAGGCCAGGAGGCCUGCCCAAGUGCAAACAGCUGAUGGUGGAGCUGGUUUGUAGUGGAGAACAAUGGCUCUUGACCCCGGUGCUCUUGGUAGGUGUGCCCUAAGUGGACACAUUCAGUAAUGUUCCCCAGUCUCCCAGGAGUCCACGGCCAUCACACAUUGCUCAACGAUCAAUACCCACUCUUGGUUGCUUCAGGGUGUUUGAAAAGUCACGGAGUUGUACGAAGUUAUAAAGCCAGAGUCGUGGUUGUGUUGCUUUGUCCAUCUCAUUAUUUUGUUGACGCUUCUUUGGAUUUGCUGUCAUAUUUUAAGCUCUCAAGGGUGAAGGAUACUGUUUCUUCCUUCUUUUUGUGUGUGUCCUCUGUAGCAUCGGAGACAGCACUGUGUUCCAGAGUUUUCUACCGUACACACAGCAGAACCAAAUUCAGUUUGAAGAACUUUGCUGAUAGGACCACCCGGCAUCUCCUCUGAAGAGACUUCCAGGGUCCCACUCCCUCCCAGCCCACCUCUCCCUUCCUUCAAUCAGACCAGGUCACCCCUGGCCUGCCCAGCCCUCCUGCAGCACUCGUGACAACCUAGCUCCCCACCUUCAGUCUAGAUCGCUUACUCUAUUACACGUCAGGGACCUAGUCAGCCGGUUUCAUUUGCUGCGUGCCUGGCUGUGCUCAACACAUAGAAGGUUCUCGGUAAAUACUAAUCCAAUAAGCAAAUGAAGGAGGGUUUUUAAUUAAGCCUCUGAAUCUCCCUAAGAAUUUGCAGAUGGCAGUGACACUUGAUUCCUUGGGGGCUUCAGAGAGGAGUGGGGGAAGCUUGAGUGCCUGUGAGCAUGUACGGCGGCGAGCAUGUGCCCAGGCGGCUUCCCUUAGCUCACGGGAUUGUCUGUCAGCACCCCGUCCCCCCUCUUGAUGGUCACCCACAUCCCCAGCUCCAUGCAGCUAAGGCGCAGGUGACGCCAGUGUCUUUCCUCCAGACCUCAUGGCUGAGCUCCCUCUAGAAAUGAGCCCCCAUUCCCAUGACCCUUCAUUCCCUUUAUUCCCUGGGGGAGUCCAUGGAAUUUGCAAAUCAAGAAAUGUUGCUGAUUUUCCUGUGUGUCGGCUCCAAGGAUCAUAAUGUCCUUUUAUCUGUUUGCUUUCAUAAAGCCCUUUCAUUUCUUGAGGUAUGGUCACAUACUUUUUUUUCCAUUUGGACAAAGCAACCGGAGGAGUUUAAUAAUAGUGUUGGCAAAGUAAAAUGAAUGAUCCGUAUUCUUGCUGAGUGUCUCGGACCAGAAUCAAUUUAUGUAUUAAUUCGAUUUUUUUUUUUUUUGGUCUUUUUGCCAUUUCUUGGGCAACUCUUGAGGCAUAUGGAGGUUCCCAGACUAGGGGUCUAAUUGGAGCUGUAUCCGCCGGCCUACACCACAGCCACAGCAACGUGGGAUCCGAGCCGCGUCUGCAACCUACACCACAGCUCACGGCAACGCUGGAUCCUUAACCCACUGAGCAAGGCCAGGGAUCGAACCUGCAACCUCAUGGUUCCUAGUCGGAUCCAUUAACCACUGCGCCACAACAGGAACUCCUGUAUUAUUUGAUUUAAUUCCUAAGUGAUGGCUAUAAUAGUGCUCUAGAGUUUGGACUGACUGGAUUUGAAUCUUGGCUUCCUUACCAGCUGCAUGACUCUGGAUCACUUACUUCAACUCUUUACACCCAUUUCCUUAUGAGAAAGGGGGGCAUUUAAUAAUAAACAUGCCAUGGCGUUGUGACUAGGAAAUAAGAUAACGCAUGUCAAGUGCUAUGCAUAGUGUUUGGCACGUGGUGAGUAUGUAAUAAUUUCUCACAAUAAACUCGUUACAGACUAUCUUAACAGAUGGGCAAAGAGAUGCUUCAAGUCCAGAGUUGAGGCCCAUGGAUUAACCCCCAUGCAAUCCCACCUGUUGAGUAUUGACAAUCACGCCUUCUCUUUAGAUUGGACUUGACAUCUUGGGCCAACUGGUCUUGAAAAGUAAUGAAAGCUUCCGACAUGUUAUUUGAUAACUUUGAAUUCUCUUUUUCCCAGGUGGUAUGUGCCGGGCCCUCUGAUCUUUCUCCCUCACCCCUACCCCCCACCAGACUAUAGGAAUAAACUUUUCCGUUUGCAAGGGCCGCAUAAUUCCCGGCUACGGUUCAGCGGCCACAUCCCAGUUGCCGACCUUCCCACCAGCUGUCACACCCUCUACCUGCUGCCAAGUGGCCCUGGAAGAAUGCUCCGGGUGAUUUCCUGCCCCUGGAAACAUCAAAGCCAGCCCUCUCCCUGUUCCCAUUCUUCUUAGUGAAUGCGCCACUGGUUGAUAUAAAGGAGACAAGUGCUCAGCAGCCUCAACGACAGGGGGAGAAUUCAGGUCCGUGGGAGGGGGGCUUGGUGGCCAGAGCAGGGAGGGGAAGUUCUGCAUCACAUCCAGGGAUCCGGCCAGGCACUCAGGCCCCAUCAGCACCCAUGAAAAUACCAGCACCCCCGCGUGGGCUUCCAAAAAGAAGCUGCUGCCUCAAGUUAUUAUUUCUAUAUUGUAUAAUAAUCAGGCCACUGUUUUGAGAUCAUGUCAAAGAUAACAAAGCAUCAGAAGCCUCUUCUGCCGCUGAAGAACCAAUCAACCUAAACUAAUACUUUAAUGACCACUUUUCCCAACGAGAAAACAAAUUCAGACAAAAAAAAAAAAANAAAAAAAAAAA
rnacentral:lncRNA from 1 species